rnacentral:rRNA from 1 species
GAUGAACGCUGGCGGCGUGCCUAAUACAUGCAAGUCGAGCGAACGGACGAGAAGCUUGCUUCUCUGAUGUUAGCGGCGGACGGGUGAGUAACACGUGGAUAACCUACCUAUAGACUGGGAUAACUUCGGGAAACCGGAGCUAAUACCGGAUAAUAUUUUGAACCGCCUGGUUCAAAAGUGAAAGACGGUCUUGCUGUCACUUAUAGAUGGAUCCGCGCUGCAUUAGCUAGUUGGUAAGGUAACGGCUUACCAAGGCAACGAUGCAUAGCCGACCUGAGAGGGUGAUCGGCCACACUGGAACUGAGACACGGUCCAGACUCCUACGGGAGGCAGCAGUAGGGAAUCUUCCGCAAUGGGCGAAAGCCUGACGGAGCAACGCCGCGUGAGUGAUGAAGGUCUUCGGAUCGUAAAACUCUGUUAUUAGGGAAGAACAUAUGUGUAAGUAACUGUGCACAUCUUGACGGUACCUAAUCAGAAAGCCACGGCUAACUACGUG